rnacentral:rRNA from 1 species
AGAUGGCGACCGGCGCACGGGUGAGUAACACGUAUCCAACCUGCCGAUAACUCGGGGAUAGCCUUUCGAAAGAAAGAUUAAUACCCGAUGGCAUAGUUCUUCCGCAUGGUGGAACUAUUAAAGAAUUUCGGUCAUCGAUGGGGAUGCGUUCCAUUAGGUUGUUGGCGGGGUAACGGCCCACCAAGCCUUCGAUGGAUAGGGGUUCUGAGAGGAAGGUCCCCCACAUUGGAACUGAGACACGGUCCAAACUACUACGGGAGGCAGCAUG